GACGGAGGAUGCAAGUGUUAUCCGGAAUUAUUGGGCGUAAAGCGUCUGCAGGUUGUUUUAUAAGUCUAUUGUUAAAGGUCGAAGCUUAACUUCGAAAAUGCAGUAGAAACUGUUUAACUAGAGUAUGGUCGAAGUAGAAGGAAUUUCCAGUGGAGUGGUGAAAUGCGUAGAUAUUGGAAAGAACACCGAUGGCGAAAGCAUUCUAUUAGGGCAUUACUGACACUCAGAGACGAAAGCUAGGGUAGCAAAUGGG
rnacentral:rRNA from 1 species